AUGAAUGCAAUAGACAAAAGAAAUCACCCGACGGAACUCGAAAAACAUGGAAGGCAUCUGAAGCUCCGGUCUUGGGGCGUCACAACACUCCACCACUACAAGAGGAUCUCGUCCCAAGAUCUAGAACGGCACCGGAGGGCAAACAGAAGAGGAAGAGAAAAGGUAAAACUAAGUUGCUUCUUUGACAAACGAGUGAAACCAAAGAACCUUGAAAAGGUUAAGCCAUUUCGAGGAAAGAAAACAAUGGAGAUGAACAAAGUUGACAAACACUCCGUUAGGAAAAGAGGAAAAGAAAGAACCGAUUCGGGUAGCACUCCGGUUGAGAAGUGA
rnacentral:rRNA from 1 species